UGUGCGACACUGGUCAGAGAUU
rnacentral:miRNA from 1 species